CAGUCGCCACGGUAAUACGAAGGGGGCUAGCGUUGCUCGGAAUCACUGGGCGUGAAGGGUGCGUAGGCGGGUCUUUAAGUCAGGGGUGAAAUCCUGGAGCUCAACUCCAGAACUGCCUUUGAUACUGAAGAUCUUGAGUUCGGGAGAGGUGAGUGGAACUGCGAGUGUAGAGGUGAAAUUCGUAGAUAUUCGCAAGAACACCAGUGGCGAAGGCGGCUUACUGGCUCGAAACUGACGCUGAGGCGCGAAAGCGUGGGGAGCAAACAGGAUUAGAUACCCCAGUAGUCCCUGUCUCUUAUAC
rnacentral:rRNA from 1 species